GACGAACGCUGGUGGCGUGCUUAACACAUGCAAGUCGAACGGAAAGGCCUGCUUUCCCUUGUGGAUUGCGGGUACUCGAGUGGCGAACGGGUGAGUAACACGUGAGUGAUCUGCCCCCAACUUGGGUAUAAGCCUGGGAAACUGGGUCUAAUUCCCGAUAGGACUGCAGGGUGGUGCCUGUGGUGGAAAACGAUUUUCUAGUGGUUGGGGAUGAGCUCGCGGCCUAUCAGCUUGUUGGUGGGGUAAUGGCCUACCAAGGCGGCGACGGGUAGCCGGCCUGAGAGGGUGGACGGCCACAUUGGGACUGAGAUACGGCCCAGACUCCUACGGGAGGCAGCAGUGGGGAAUAUUGCACAAUGGGCGGAAGCCUGAUGCAGCGACGCCGCGUGGGGGAUGACGGCCUUCGGGUUGUAAACUCCUUUCGACCGCGAGGAAGCCACCUGGUUGGAAGGGUGGUGACGGUAGUGGUAGAAGAAGCACCGGCUAACUACGUG
rnacentral:rRNA from 1 species